rnacentral:piRNA from 1 species
UACAAGGGGCUUUCAGAUGUGAGCGGC